rnacentral:rRNA from 1 species
UAAGACAGAGGUGCCGAGCGUUAGGCGGAAUCACUGGGCUUAAAGCGUGUGUAGGCGGGCCGUUAAGUGCCUUGUGAAAUCCCCCGGCUCAACCGGGGAACUGCUGGGCAUACUGGCGGCCUUGAGUCACUCAGGGGUCAGCGGAACAAACGGUGGAGCGGUGAAAUGCGUAGAUAUCGUUUGGAACGCCGACGGCGAAAGCAGCUGACUGGGAGUGAUCUGACGCUGAGACACGAAAGCCAGGGGAGCGAACGGGAUUAGAUACCCCGGUAGUCCUGGCCGUAAACGAUGUCGACUAGGUCGCGGGACCUCUGACGGUCUCGCGGCCGAAGCAAAAGUGCUAAGUCGACCGCCUGGGAAGUACGGUCGCAAGGCUA